rnacentral:tRNA from 1 species
AGACAAAACUGAUUUGAUGUCUGAAUUAUUUUUUCAGGCCAUAAUCCUGUCACCUUAGGUCGAUCGGUACCUCAAUUUAGUUUUAUAGAAACUAAGAAAUUACUUUCUAUCUAUAUUAGAUUCAGUUCCUAAACUUUGUCUAGGUCACACCCAACAAGGGUACUCCUGGGCCAUUAGCUCAGGUGGUUAGAGCGCACCCCUGAUAAGGGUGAGGUCCCUGGUUCAAGUCCAGGAUGGCCCAUUCGGUGUUGGGGGUAUAGCUCAGUUGGUAGAGCGCCUGCUUUGCAAGCAGGAUGUCAGCGGUUCGAGUCCGCUUACCUCCACUGAUCACCCACCUAAUAACGAAGCCUACGGAGUUUUUGUUGAUGUGAUCUAGAAUUUGCUCUAGAUCAAUGAACCUAGCUUCUUAUCGUUCCAACUAAAAAUGAUUUUUAGUUCUUGAUUGAUAGGACGCUGGGCUCGCUGCAAUUUUCAUUGCAGAGAUCUCCAGUAGAACCUUGACAACUGCAUAGGUAAGUCUGGAAAGAAUAAAGCAUCUCAUGGAUGCACUAUUCUUUUGAACCAACUUUAGACAUUUGAUUUAAUCAGAUAUCUAAUUUGGUUUGAAAUUAUAAUGUUUAAUUCUUGAGCAAGAGCCGAGACUCUGCAAAGUUCUUUUGAUGUAUUCUUUACAUUGAGAGUUAGAUUUUUAAUUCUGUUGUUGACUUAAUAACUUUUGGAAUAUUUCCAAAUCGUUUUUAUUAAAUGUUCAGAAUUGAGAAGAAUAGUGCUAACAACACUAAGACAUUGUAGAGAUAAAUGGUCAAGCUACAA